rnacentral:ncRNA from 1 species
GGUUUGCUAGCGUGGAGGGCACCCCGACGAGACGCGCCGUACCGGGUCCCAAGGCAAAGACGACGCACC